rnacentral:tRNA from 1 species
GAAAUAAAAAUUUGAAUUUCUAAUUCAUAGAUUAAUAUUUAUAAUAUAUUAUUAUUUCU